GACGAACGCUGGUGGUGUGCUUAACACAUGCAAGUCGAACGGUAAGGCCCUUUCGGGGGUACACGAGUGGCGAACGGGUGAGUAACACGUGAGUAACCUGCCCUCAUCUCUGGGAUAACAGUCGGAAACGGUUGCUAAUACUGGAUAUGAGCUUGCAAGGCAUCUUGUGGGUUGGAAAGAUUUUUUUGGUUGGGGAUGGACUCGCGGCCUAUCAGCUUGUUGGUGAGGUAGUGGCUCACCAAGGCUUCGACGGGUAGCCGGCCUGAGAGGGCGACCGGCCACAUUGGGACUGAGAUACGGCCCAAACUCCUACGGGAGGCAGCAGUGGGGAAUAUUGCACAAUGGACGGAAGUCUGAUGCAGCAACGCCGCGUGCGGGAUGACGGCCUUCGGGUUGUAAACCGCUUUCAAUUGUGACGAAGCUUUUUGUGACGGUAGCAGUAGAAGAAGCACCGGCUAACUACGUG
rnacentral:rRNA from 1 species